AGAAAAGAAAAGAAAAAAAAUUUAAAUGAUGAUAAUGAUGAUGCCUUGUCUCAAGAAGGGUUAGAGUUCUCCUUUGAGGAAAUCUUUAAACAGAGGCUGGGUAAUAAUUUGUUAGAGAAACAUCACUGUGGUUUGACUGAUCAAAUUUGGCCACUGCUGGCCUGAUCAGAGAGCUUAAUAUUCACCUAAGGUACGAUGCCCUAAGAUAUGAGUCUACGCUGCAUAUAAAAUCAGUACACCAUGAUUUAAAUUAACAAGUUAGAUGUAGCAUAAGAAACAAACUUGAUAUUGAUCAAUUAUGCCCCUAGCAGAGCAAUCAGAGAGCGUUAUCCUUGAAAAUAAGACUGCUGACCUGGAAGAAUAUGAAACAACACUCCUCCUGAUUUGAUUCCCUCUAAUCUGUCUGAUAACACUAACAAAAUAUGUCAGUUGGAAAGAACUGUGUAACUUAAGCAUAAUAUAAAUAUGUUCAGGAAAGGAGGUGAAAUCUAGCAAAGGAAGAAAGGACAGCACCAAAGAGACGGGCAAAGCAAAGAAAAGUAAGAAGAUAGGACAUUGAAGAGUAUCAGAAAACUCGAAAACUAAAGAGAAGAUCCGGGGUAGCCUAUGCUUGGACAACUGCCCUCACAACUUUUCUCCCUGCCUCAGCCCCCUACAAGGACUCCACAAGACAGGAGCACCAACGUGGUUUAAAGGAAUAUAUCUUGUAUUUUCAUGUUUGUGCUCCAUCCCACAGAGUGAAAAUCAGCCCAUCACCUCCAAACUGUACAGAAUUGGCCUUUGAGAGAAACUAUGCCCCUUCAUAUCUCAAGCCUAAAGGAUCUAAUCUCUAAGUCACUGCCUGGUAGCCUAAGGCUGAUAAUGCUGAACCCAAGGAUAAAAACCAACUUAUGUCUGGUAUCUGACAAAUACAGGAACUACUACGAGCCAUUUGAUUUUUAAGAUUUUUUGGAAAGGCAGUUCAGAAACUCAUUGUGUGUAAAUGUCAGUCCUCCAUAACAUUAGACACUACUCACUAUAUAGGUGUAGCAAUACAGGCCUGAGGCAUCACUCUUUGAGAGUUUUUAGUUCCCUUUCCUUUGAUUCCAGUAAACAUUGAGCUUAGAUUCGAUGGUUUAUGGGUCUAAUAACAGAUGUGCCGCUUCAGAGAGCAGAGGACUAGCCCAUGUAUGGGAAAUAGUACUGGCAGAAUACCUGAGUUGAAAUCUUGACUUCACUACUAUUCCAAGCCUCAGGUAUAUACAAUAAUACUAUCUAUCUGGAAGAAUUGAUUUAAGAACCUAAUGAGGUGAUUAAAUAUUUUAAGUAUUAAGUAUUUUACAGGUAUACCUGUAACACAAACACAAAAAUGAAUCCUAUUAUUAGAUUUGUUCUUUGAGUCAACAAAGUUAAAAGACCUAAUUAUGGAUUCCAGAAGCCAUUCAAUCAUAGUUUUCACCAAUUCUCACCCAACUCAAAUAAGACAUAUUCUUGUUCUCCACAC